GCAGCUUUCUGGAUCAUUACUGACACUGAGGAACGAAAGCAUGGGUAGCGAAGAGGAUUAGAUACCCUCGUAGUCCAUGCCGUAAACGAUGUGUGUUAGACGUUGGAAAUUUAUUUUCUGUGUCGCAGCGAAAGCAAUAAACACACCGCCUGGGGAGUACGACCGCAAGGUUAAAACUCAAAUGAAUUGACGGGGACCCGCACAAGUAGUGGAGCAUGUGGUUUAAUUCGAAGAUACGCGCAGAACCUUACCAACACUUGACAUGUUCGUCGCGACUUUAAGAGAUUAAAGUUUUCGGUUCGGCCGGACGAAACACAGGUGCUGCAUGGCUGUCGUCAGCUCGUGUCGUGAGAUGUUGGGUUAAGUCCCGCAACGAGCGCAACCCUCACUUUUAGUUGCCAUCAUUAAGUUGGGCACUCUGAAAGAACUGCCAGUGAUAAGCUGGAGGAAGGUGGGGAUGACGUCAAGUCCUCAUGGCCCUUACGUGUUGGGCUACACACGUGCUACAAUGGCAUUUACAAUAGGAAGCAAGACGGCGACGUUUAGCAAAUCCUAAAAAAGUGCCUCAGUUCGGAUUGUACUCUGCAACUCGAGUACAUGAAGCUGGAAUUACUAGUAAUCGCGGAUCAGCGCGCCGCGGUGAAUACGUUCCCGGGUCUUGUACACACCGCCCGUCACACCAUGGGAGUUGGUUCUACCUUAAGGCAAAGUUUAAAACCUUUGACCACGGUAUAGUCAGCGACUGGGGUGAAGUCGUAACAAGGUAGCCGUAGGGGAACCUGCGGCUG
rnacentral:rRNA from 1 species